UGGGUUGUUUGGGGUUCAGGUGAUCCAGG
rnacentral:piRNA from 2 species